rnacentral:rRNA from 1 species
GAUGAACGCUGGCGGCGUGCUUAACACAUGCGAGUCGAACGAAGCACCUUGAUUUGAUUCUUCGGAUGAAGAUCUUGGUGACUGAGUGGCGGACGGGUGAGUAACGCGUGGGUAACCUGCCUCAUACAGGGGGAUAACAGUUAGAAAUGACUGCUAAUACCGCAUAAGACCACAGCACCGCAUGGUGCAGGGGUAAAAACUCCGGUGGUAUGAGAUGGACCCGCGUCUGAUUAGGUAGUUGGUGGGGUAACGGCCUACCAAGCCGACGAUCAGUAGCCGACCUGAGAGGGUGACCGGCCACAUUGGGACUGAGACACGGCCCAAACUCCUACGGGAGGCAGCAGUGGGGAAUAUUGCACAAUGGGGGAAACCCUGAUGCAGCGACGCCGCGUGAGCGAUGAAGUAUUUCGGUAUGUAAAGCUCUAUCAGCAGGGAAGAAAAUGACGGUACCUGACUAAGAAGCACCGGCUAAAUACGUG